GACGAACGCUGGCGGCGUGCUUAACACAUGCAAGUCGAACGGAAAGGCCCUGCUUUUGUGGGGUGCUCGAAUGGCGAACGAGUGAGUAACAAGUGAGUAACCUGCCCUUGACUUUGGGAUAACUUCAGGAAACUGGGGCUAAUACCGGAUAGGAGCUCCUGCUGCAUGGUGGGGGUGGGAAAGGUUCGGCGGUUGGGGAUGGACUCGUGGCUUAUCAGCUUGUUGGUGGGGUAGUGGCUUACCAAGGCUUUGACGGGUAGCCGGCCUGAGAGGGUGACCGGCCACGUUGGGACUGAGAUACGGGCCAGACUCCUACGGGAGGGAGCAGUGGGGAAUAUUGCACAAUGGGCGGAAGCCUGAUGCAGCGACGCCGCGUGCGGGAUGACGGCCUUCGGGUUGUAAACCGCUUUCGCCUGUGACGAAGCGUGAGUGACGGUAAUGGGUAAAGAAGCACCGGCUAACUACGUG
rnacentral:rRNA from 1 species